AGACUCCCCAAAUUUAUGAACCUGCACAGACCCGAUGACAUCUCAGAUACUUGAGAAUUGCAAAAUCUCUCUGCCGUGUGUGUCCAUUUCCACAGCAAGGAUGACGAAAGAAACACUACAGCACUACAUGGCUAGGAAAUAUCCUCCACUUCCUGGACCUAUGUUGCAAUACCCAGGACAAAACUGUCUCUUGCUCGUUGCUUGCCCCUCAUUCCACACACUCUUCUUCUGGAAAGCUAGACACAGCAAAUCUGUCCUGUCUAAGAAGCUAGGAGUUUCUGAAGGAAGGACCCAGAGCCUGGCCAGCAUUGCAGAGGCAACACACACGCCUUAAAGAAGACCCAGACCACAGGAAGAGGGCGCUAAAGGCAGAGGAAAGGCAGAAGGUGAGGAAAGGGUAGGAGAACAGAGAAAGAGAGAGAAAAAGCAGGACAUCUAGCAGCUAACCGGGGCAGGAGGAGGAACGCCAAGAACUGAGCAGAGGUUGCAGAACUGAGAAGACGAAGGAAGAAGGAAGCACCACCAUGAGCAAACCAAACUAUGAACAGCUGGGUGAGAAGGCACUUGCCGCUCAGAACCCUCCUGCCUACUCUGAAAAAGAGGCCUAUGCAGAGCCUGACCCACUGAAACAGCCUCCUGGGCCAGCACCCCAAGCAGACUAUGGGGCAAUGCCAGCACCCCAAGCAGGCUAUGGGGCAAUGCCUUACUAUGGCCCACCCGGUGCGGGAUCUCACCUAGGCCCAGUCCUUCAACCUCCACAGGCGGUCUACGUCACACCUGUACAGCCCACCAAUGAACCCGAUUACUUGAUCUACUCCAUCUUCACCAUGCUCUGCUGCUGCUUACCCCUUGGUAUUGCCGCCUUGGUCUACUCUAUACAGGUAAGUGUGUGUGAAAGGGAGAGGCAAAGAAAUGGGGGUGGGGGUGAGGCUUUGCUAGAAAACAAAGGAGGCAAAAAAGGCAAGUCCCUCCCUUAGUAAUAAGGGGUUGCACCCAACCGAGUUCUACUCAGAGAAGACCCAUAGCAGGUAACAGGUCCAAAUUCGUAAUGGGCAUUGAUUUCAGUGGGUCUGCUCUGAGUAGGAGUAGCAUUGGCUUAAGUGUUGUUUUUGGAAGGUGGCAUCACAAGCUAUAAUUUGGCUAUAAUUUGGUUAUAAUUAGGAGUGGGGCUUCUGUCUUUCAUUGAAAAUAUUUCCCUUUAAAGUUCAAGCACUGGCACUAUGGGAGUGGGAGGGGAGUGAGGAGAGAAAUUCAAUGCAGUUUCAAUUGAAGGCAAACCCACCUAAUUUGUUCUUUCUGAAACGAUACACAAACCAAAAAACAGCCCUCCUCCCAAAAUUCACACUUUUCUGAAUUUUGCAAUGCAGUUCUCCAGCCGAGUAUGUGUGUACCAAAAGGCAUACACUAGGGCAAAGCUAGGGUAAAAUGCAUACACCUAAUAAAGGAUUGCAUUGUAUUUGGGGAAACUGCUUUGCAAACAUGUGUAUCUGGGCAAAUGAGAUGAUAGGUCUUCAUGGGGUCUUUAAAAGAAAAUGACAGUGUGGUGCAGAAAAGUGUAUAAACGAAAUUAAGAUUGCGGAAAUGAAAAACGGAGAGAAACCAAAACUGACAGAGGGGCCCAUCCCACAGCCCUCCUACACAGUUACAAGGAAUUAGGUAAAUAAAGGAGAAACAGACACACAUUGCUAAACUACAUGUUUACUUAGCUGCAUGUUACGCUGCAACAUCUGGAGGAGGCUAGCCUUGCUAGUCUGUUGCGGUGUGAGCAAGGGAGAGCCUCAUAGCACCUUAAAGGGAACAAAUUGUUGCGGCAUCUGUUUUGGUGCACCAGAAACAAAAAUAUCAUGCCACCACUUAGCUGCAGAAUCGAGGCAUGGUUAAGGGUGUGAUGUGGUAUCAAACUUUUUUAUUUUAAUGCAGCAAAGAUUGUGGAUGGAAAACCGACUGUUUGGCAAGGGCUAACUUACCAUGGAGCUGUUUACAACUUGGUGAGAUGGUCACCUGGAACAUCUUGUCACACAGCUAGGAGAUUGUUCCUCAUCUCCUUAGAUCAAGGGCCAAUUCUUCACUGGGCAUGAUGCUGCAGAUGAUCAGCUGCAGGGCAAAGAGCUCUCUAUGCCACCCCAAUACCAACCUGAUUAUGACACAGCUAAUGCUGGAUCCAAUGUCAGUGCUCUGUGUUUCGAGAACUGGGAUCCACCUUUGUCUUCCUUCCUUCCUCUUUUACUGCAUGCAUUUACAGAAUAGUAGAACUGUAGAGUCAGAAGGGACCCUGAGGAUCAUCUAGUCCAACCCCCUGCAAUACAGAAAUAUGCAGUUCUCCCAUACGAGGGUCGAACCUGCAACCUUGGCGUUAUCAGCACUAUGCUCUAGCAGACUGAGCUACCCAUCUGAUCUUUCUCUUGGGGCAUGUUUUGUUUUCCUUUCCCUUUCUUCCUUAUUCUCUCCUCCUCCUCCUCCUUCUCCUUCUAGUUCCCGCUCCUCCUCCUCCUCUCCUCUCCCCUCCUCCUCCUAUUGUUUAAAACAAUGUGCACGAAAUUACCAGAGAAAGAUAAAGAGUAUGGCAGAAAGCCACUGGUGUGACCCAGCUUAAAUGAGUAUGUGAUCCAGAAUACGGCUCAUGUCAAUGGGUGCAUUUCCCUUCUUUGUACAUCGCCCCCGAGCAAGGAGUUGUGCAAAUGCUCAUCAUAAGCGAGUUCUCCAUAACUGUGUCCCCAGGCACCGUGAACCCCUCCCCAUUGGGCCGUAUCAGUAAGACAAGGACCACAGGAAACAUUCAGUGAGGUUCAAUUAGGCCACAACUUUGUUGAUUACGAGUUUUGGGUUGGCAUUAAGCAGCCACCAUCUCCUCCAGUCAGCCUGCUGGAGGGAUUCUGGGGACCAAGCCUGAUUUGGGGUCGACCCAUGACAUAUAUCAAAUAAAUGCAACCCACACAGACUUGCGGCAUUGGGGAGUGCUGUGGCUCUUAGCCUGGAUGUAUGGACAGAAGCCCCUCCUUGUGGAUCUCUUUAUCGGGACACCCCAGUGCCAAGGAGUGGGUAGCAGAGGCUCAUAAUCUCCUCUCCACCACCAAAGAAUAGGCUACUUUCAUCUGAUCUUUCUCUAGGGUGUAUUUUAUUUACCUUUCUCUAACCCACAUUCACGUUCUUUCUUAAUUCUCUCCUUCUACCCUUCUAGUUCCAUGCUGCUGCUGUUGUUGCUGCUGCUGCUCCCUCCUCCCUUCUCCUCUUCUCUUUUUCCUUUUAAAACAAUGCAAAAUGAAAUGACCGAAAGGCAGGGAGAGAGAGAGAGAGAGAGAGAGAGAGAGAGAGAGAGAGAGAGAGAGAGAGAGAAUGGCAGAAAGCCACUGAUGUGACCCAUCUUAGAACAGGAUUCGGUCCAGGAUAUGGCUCAGUGUCCGUUCCCCCUCUUUGUACCUCACCUCUGAGCAAUGUGUUGUGCAACAGCUCAUUGUAAGUGAGCGCUCCGUAUUUCUCAACAGAAAUAUCUGUACAUGCACCCAAUAGACAUUCAGAAUACCACAACACACACGUAACUGGCUGUAAAGUAACAUAACAUUAUAUAUAAUGAAACUGUAAUAUAAUCAUCAUAUCAAAAAAUUGCAAAGCACUGUUCCUCAUGGCAAUAACAUAUCAUAUUACUAUUAAUCUUCUAUAUGUUUUUAUUGUUGUAAAGUCCAAGGAUAGUCAAGUCCAAAGAUUGCCAAAUCCAAGGAUUACAACGGACAGUUCCUGUUGGUUAAUAGUCUGUGUGUUGACUCAAUAGACAUUCAAGCAUUAAAACAUGCUUAAAGUCCAUAUAAAUCAUUCAUCAUAUUUCUAAAUAAUAUUUCCUCCAAUGCAACUUAACCAUCAUGCCUUUAUGCAUUUGCAGCAUUCUAAUUAAUAAUACUAAUUAGGUUAUCUUCUUUAUCCCUAACAUUCUGUUCAAGUUCUACCAGCCCCUCAAAGAUCCAGAAAAAUCUCCUGAUCUGCCUUGUUAUGCAAUUCCCUUUUCACAAACAUUUGGGCGGCUUUUAAAGCACAUUAAACACAUUCAUAGAGAAGGCUGUCAGCGAUUACAAGCCACAAUGGCUGAUGUUCUACCUUGACUGUCAGAAGAAUUAUGCCUCUGAAUACCAGUUGCUGAGAAUUGCAGGUAGACAGGCAGCUGCUGUUGCAUUCUUGUCCAAUUUGCAGGCUUCCCACAUGCAUCUGAUCAGACAUUGUAAGCACAGGAUGCUGAGCUAGACAGGUCUGAUCAGGGUUGCCAUGCUCUUACACAGUGGGGAUUGCCAUAGAACCUCUGGCUGCAUAUGCACCAUACAUUUCAAAAAGUCCAUUUAAAGCACAUUUCUCCCUGAAGAACCUUGGAAAGUAACUUUCCCCUCCAACAGUUCCCAGCCACUCUUAACAAACUACAGCUCCCAGGAUUUUUGUGGGGUGGGUGUUUCAAACAUACGGUAUGAACCCAACCAGAGUUGCCAACAGGCCUGGACCAACUGUGACAAGGGAGGAGGAGAGAGGGUCUUUAAUCAUGAGAUACUUUAAGGGCAGGUCCCAGCCUGCCUGCUGGCGGUUGCCAAGAGCCUGAUUUGCAAAUUGCUCGUGGAGAAACCUCACCACUGGUCAGAUCUGUGCUGGUGAAAACUCAGAGGACCAUCCAAACUGAUGUCUUGAACCUCAGUGUGAGCUUAUAGCAGGCACAGGCAAACUCGGCCCUCCAGAUGUUUUGAGACUACAAUUCCCAUCAUCCCUGACCACUGGUCCUGUUAGCUAGGGAUGAUGGGACUUGUAGUCCAAAAACAUCUGGAGGGCUGGGUUUGCCUAUGCCUGGCUUACAGUCUUGCUCUGCUCUGCUAGGUUCCAGACUAAAACCACAAGGUUACUGGUAAGUGACUGAUAGCCUCAAGCAACAAGAUUCUUCGUUGGCUAACACCAGGCAACUGUUUCUCAGCUUGCCACUUCUGCAUGCUGGAGGUGUUCUCCAGCUGCAUGGUUUCUCACUCGUUUCUCUCUCUUUCUCUGCAGACAAGAGAAGCCAACUUCGCUGGAAAUGCCGCGUCCGCCAAGAGAAAUUCCCGAAUGGCACGCCUCUUCGGUCACAUCGCUCUGGGGAUUGGGCUGGGGUGCCUUGUUAUAUAUAUUAUCAUCGUAGUGAUUGUUUCUACCACAGCAGCCUACCUUCCACCGCAGAAGCCCUGAUGAUGCCCUCUGCAGCCUUCAGAUUCCAAAAGACCUUCCCCACCUCACCCCAGCAGACAGGCAAGAGAAGUCCCCCUUUGACAAUCGUCUUCCAUAACAGGAUACACCACUGGCUAGAUGGCAUGCGUGUGUGCCCUGAAAAUUCCACCUAGCAAGAGCUCUGCCGCAGCCCAAACACAUUAAACGAAAAGCAUUGUCUUGCUCCAGCUCUACAACACACAAGCAUCCCAAACAGAAACAACAGAAGAGGGACAGGCAAAUGGAUUUGGGUGCUGAGGAUCUGAAACAGUGUCCUGCCUGAUGGCUUGGGAAAUGUCUGAGUCAAUUGCCUUGCUCUUGCCAAUGUUAAAGUAGAAUUACCUGUUUAGACCAUAGCCCGUCCAGAGCCAAGAUGUACCUCUCCUCCAUCUGACACCUCUGGUCCAGGUUUCUUCCCUGGGCCUUUAGUGUAGUGGCAUUUGAAACACCCAUCCAUUAUAUAUCUGCCUUUGAGAGGUCUUUAUUAACUUUCCAGUGCACUGUUGAAUGCCUUUCUUUUAUCCCUGCCUGUGUCUGUAUUUGGUUCAAUAUUGUCUUUUAUGAAUGAACAAGCCAAUCUAUGUUUACUUGUGGGGUUGCUUUACCCCAUAUAUGCCAACUCAACCAUUUUGAUCUGUGGAACUGGCACUGUUACAAGGGCUACAUAAUGUUCCCUUUGCUUCUGUAAGGAAUCAAUAUUUUAGUGUGGCAACGCUCACACUUUGGAACUCCCGACCUAUUGACACCAGGCAGGUGCCUUCCCUGUAUUCUUUUUUGGUGCCCACUAAAAACAUUUUUAUUUAGACAAGCCUAUAUAGACAUGUAGAAGGUUGGGGUUGUGUUUUAAUCAGCUUUCAAGCUUAUCGUUGAUUCAAUUAUUUUUUAAUGUUUUGAAUAGCUGUUAACAGGGGGCUCACUUCUUAUUCUUUUCUCUUUUUUUACACCACUUUGAGGGUUGUCUGUUUGCUAUGUGCUCCAGCAGGAUAUAAAUUUUGUGAAAUAAAAAUAAAUAAGGAAUAAUCAGUUGGCACAAGCUGCUCUUUGUGUAUAUCAUAUAAUAUUGCUUAAUCCAGGAAUGAAGAUGAUUUUCAGUGUUAGUGAAGAAAAGCUGUCAGUUUCAUUAAAAAUAUUUGAAAUACCUCCUGCCUCC